rnacentral:rRNA from 1 species
AUUGAACGCUGGCGGCAUGCUUUACACAUGCAAGUCGAACGGUAACAGGCCGCAAGGUGCUGACGAGUGGCGAACGGGUGAGUAAUGCAUCGGAACGUGCCCUGUCGUGGGGGAUAACGCAGCGAAAGCUGCGCUAAUACCGCAUACGAUCUCUGGAUGAAAGCGGGGGACCGAAAGGCCUCGCGCGAUUGGAGCGGCCGAUGUCAGAUCAGGUAGUUGGUGGGGUAAAGGCCCACCAAGCCAACGAUCUGUAGCUGGUCUGAGAGGACGACCAGCCACACUGGGACUGAGACACGGCCCAGACUCCUACGGGAGGCAGCAGUGGGGAAUUUUGGACAAUGGGCGCAAGCCUGAUCCAGCAAUGCCGCGUGCAGGAAGAAGGCCUUCGGGUUGUAAACUGCUUUUGUACGGAACGAAACGGUCCGGGUUAAUACCCUGGGCUAAUGACGGUACCGUAAGAAUAAGCACCGGCUAACUACGUGCCAGCCGCCGCAGUAAAAC